rnacentral:misc_RNA from 1 species
AAGUCGUAACAAGGUUUCCGUAGGUGAACCUGCGGAAGGAUCAUUAACACGUAUCCACGUAUCUACCUAACGCGAACCUCUUUUGUUUAUAGUUGUGCCAGGUACGAAUGGGAGCAGAUGACCAUGUUGUUUUUUCUUAGGACCUCUUGGGGACCUUUGAUGAAACGUUCUGCUUGCCUAUCCUUCUCGAUGUUGAGUGCUAGUGUAUUGAGGUUGACCCACGACUCCGGUUGUGAGGCAAUCCUAUUAGCCAUAACUCCUUGGGAAUUGGAUAUCUGGUGUAACUCGAAUCAUGGUGGUUAUUAACAUAUAAACCCUGUCUUCAUUUAUGUUUGUGAGUUCUUCUAGCGACACCUCACUGGUGACGCUAGUCCUCCCCCCAAUAACACUAUACAACUCUUAGCAACGGAUAUCUCGGUUCU